UUGAAGAUGUUAAGAAAACCUCCCUAAUGCCACCCAACAGACAGGCACGACAGUCUGGCUGUCCGACUCACAGUAUCUCUCCUGAUAUCACGGAAGUUGCCCAGAUCAGUUUCUCUCCUGUUGGCCACAUGACCAGGCCCCUGGAUCUCGCCUCUCUGCUGACGCGUCACAUUUUCUAGACAGCUGAGCGGUGAGCCCAGCUGUGGGGCCAGAAGAGCCUCUUCCUGAACGGAGCUGCAGUUCUACCCUUGCACACUUACCUGUGGGUGUCCCUAAGCCUGUGUAAACUCAAGGAGACUAGGGGACUGGGCUGUGAUGGACACAUGUGACCCUCCACCCCCAGGGCCUGGAAUGGGAUAUUCUGCUCUAGGGAUGGUGAGACACGUAGGCAGGACUGAAAUACUCAAUUCCUGUUUGCUGAUGGCAGAGACCCACAGGAAUUUCUCUUCCAGAAGGAACAUAUGUGACUAACUCUAGUGCCACCAUAUCAAACAGGAAGAUCUACAGCACAGAGAAACGUGUCAGUGCCAGAUCCAAGCUGGAACACUAGAGACAGGACUGGACCACGUUUUGUGACUGAUCAGCAUCCCGGAAAAAGGAAAUGUGAUAAACCUAAACACCAAGGGAAGACGGUGUAUUGUCUAAUGCAGGAGACAACAGAAUGCCUUUGUUACAGGAAAAUCACAAAUCAAUAAGAAAAGCUGAUGAGAAAAUCAAGUAACCAGAAAAAGAUUUUGUUGCUGUCUGGCAUUAUACUAACGCUUGACUUGGAGUGAAAAUGCUGAUGGGAUUCAUGGCGGAGCCUCUACCCUCAUACCUGGCCUCCAUUAAAAGAGAUAUCCAGCCGAAACCACUCCCUCAGAGGUAGGGUGAAUUUAGUUUUUACAGCAAGGUCUUCUCCUUUGACAAGAUGCAUUUGAAUAUGCAAAUGACCUAAGAGGAAAAUCAAAACUCAUGAAAAUGACCCAAAGAAACAUCUAGGAGUGAAUGACAAAGAUGUACCUUUUUCAACAACAUUCCUAAGAAGCUAAAACUAAAUCCCCUUCCUUUUUUUUUUCUUUAAACAAAAAUGAAGCAAAACCAAAACGCAUUUUUUUUUAAAUAAAUGAGACAUUUGCUUUAAGCUUCUAGGAAAAAGAAGUUUAAAGUUCGCAUUUGGU